rnacentral:misc_RNA from 1 species
CGCAUAUUGCGCUCUUUGGUAUUCCGAAGAGCAUGCUUGUUUGAGUAUCAGUAAACACCUCAAAGCUUUUGGAUUUUUUAAUCGAAAAGCUUUGGACUUGAGCAAUCCCAACACCAAUCUUUUUGAGAUCGGUGGCGGGUUGCUUGAAAUGCAGGUGCAGCUGGACAUUCUCCUGAGCUAAAAGCAUAUUCAUUUAGUCCCGUCAAACGGAUUAUUACUUUUGCUGCAGCUAACAUAAAGGGAGUUUGACCGUAUUGGCUGACUGAUGCAGGAUUUCACAAGGGUCGGCAACGAUUCUUGUUAAACUCGAUCUCAAAUCAAGUAAGACUACCCGCUGAACUUAA